rnacentral:rRNA from 1 species
UACGUAGGGUGCGAGCGUUAAUCGGAAUUACUGGGCGUAAAGCGUGCGCAGGCGGUUCGUUGUGUCUGUGGUGAAAGCCCCGGGCUUAACCUGGGAAUGGCCAUGGAAACUGGCGAGCUGGAGUGUGGCAGAGGGGGGUGGAAUUCCUGGUGUAGCAGUGAAAUGCGUAGAUAUCAGGAGGAACACCGAUGGCGAAGGCAGGUCUCUGGGCUGACACUGACGCUCAUGCACGAAAGCGUGGGGAGCAAACAGG